UUUAUGGAGAGUUUGAUCCUGGCUCAGGAUGAACGCUGGCGGCGUGCCUAAUACAUGCAAGUCGAGCGAACAGAUAAGGAGCUUGCUCCUUUGACGUUAGCGGCGGACGGGUGAGUAACACGUGGGUAACCUACCUAUAAGACUGGAAUAACUCCGGGAAACCGGGGCUAAUGCCGGAUAACAUGUUGAACCGCAUGGUUCUACAGUGAAAGACGGUCUUGCUGUCACUUAUAGAUGGACCCGCGCCGUAUUAGCUAGUUGGUGGGGUAACGGCCUACCAAGGCGACGAUACGUAGCCGACCUGAGAGGGUGAUCGGCCACACUGGAACUGAGACACGGUCCAGACUCCUACGGGAGGCAGCAGUAGGGAAUCUUCCGCAAUGGGCGAAAGCCUGACGGAGCAACGCCGCGUGAGUGAUGAAGGUCUUCGGAUCGUAAAGCUCUGUUGUUAGGGAAGAACAAAUGUGUAAGUAACUGUGCACAUCUUGACGGUACCUAACCAGAAAGCCACGGCUAACUACGUGCCAGCAGCCGCGGUAAUACGUAGGUGGCAAGCGUUAUCCGGAA
rnacentral:rRNA from 1 species